rnacentral:misc_RNA from 1 species
AAGUCGUAACAAGGUUUCCGUAGGUGAACCUGCGGAAGGAUCAUUAAUGAUUUUUAAAGCGAGUCGAGCGGUUAAGUGAGGCUUGCGAAAUAUUUAAAACCCCACUCUUUUUAACCUUAAAAAAUAAAUCAUGAUACAUGAAUUUAAAAAAGAUCACUUUCAACAACGGAUCUCUUGGCUCUC